rnacentral:tRNA from 1 species
GGGGUUGUGGCUCAGUGGUAGAGUGCUUGCCUAGCAUGUGUGAGGCUCUGGGUUCAAUUCUCAGCACCA